rnacentral:rRNA from 1 species
UACGAAGGGGGCUAGCGUUGCUCGGAAUCACUGGGCGUAAAGCGCACGUAGGCGGGUCUUUAAGUCAGGGGUGAAAUCCCGGAGCUCAACUCCGGAACUGCCUUUGAUACUGGAGAUCUUGAGUCCGGGAGAGGUGAGUGGAACUCCGAGUGUAGAGGUGAAAUUCGUAGAUAUUCGGAAGAACACCAGUGGCGAAGGCGGCUCACUGGCCCGGUACUGACGCUGAGGUGCGAAGGCGUGGGGAGCAAACAGG